rnacentral:rRNA from 1 species
UACAGAGGUCCCGAGCGUUGUUCGGAUUCAUUGGGCGUAAAGGGUGCGUAGGCGGCGGGGCAAGUCUGAUGUGAAAUCCCGGGGCUCAACCCCGGAACUGCAUUGGAUACUGCCUUGCUUGAGUACUGGAGAGGAGACUGGAAUUUACGGUGUAGCAGUGAAAUGCGUAGAGAUCGUAAGGAAGGCCAGUGGCGAAGGCGAGUCUCUGGACAGUAACUGACGCUGAGGCACGAAGGCCAGGGGAGCAAACAGG